GUACUACACCACCAAGGCGACGGAGUACUACAUGACUACGCAUGCUGCCCCAUCCUACUACACCGAUUCUCUUAACUGCUACACCGAGGCUCCCGCUGGUUACUCCACCAAAACGGUCGAAUACUACACCGAAGCGCCAAAGUACUAUUCUGCCCCCAUCUACACAACCACAACUGAGGCGGCCAAGUAUUACGCAGUCCCGACUUACUACACAGAAGCUGCUCUUUGGUACUACGUUGAACAGAAAUACUACACUGAUGCUCCAGUUUACUACACUACGACCUGCGCUACACCUAGCUACGACACCGCAGUCCCUAAUUACUACACCGAAGAAACCGCCUAUUACAACCACUUACGCUGCCUUGUUUACUACACCGAGGUUCCCAAGUACUACAUCACUAAGGCACUUGGAUUCUACACGUCUAUGUAUGCUGCCCCUACCUACUACACCAAGGCCCUGCAUUACUACAACACUGAAGCGCUCAAGUACUACACUACAACCUACGCUCCCCCGAGCUACUACACCUACGUCCCGAAGUUUUACUGUGCGUUAAAAGAGUCGUCUAAAAAAAAAGAAGUCGUGCCCGAACUGCAGUGCCCUAUCUGUCACCAACUGCAUUCCUCAUCGUGUAAUCCAUUCGCAAUUAUGGUCAACUAUGGCGUUGUGCUCCUGUUGGGUGUGGUAUUGUUUAUGGCUGGGUCGUCCGCUUGUGUAGCGAUGUCUCCUUGGUAUGGCGGAAACCAAACGGCGACGCCGCCACCUUCCUACACAACUUACGCUGCCCCGAGCCACUACACUGACGCCCUGAAGUAUUACUCUACCCUGAAUUACUACACCGUCUAGGCGAUGGAGUACUACAUGACUACGCAUGCUGCUCCAUCCUACUACACCGAGUCUCCUAACUGCUACACCGAGGCUCCCGCUGGUUACUCCACCAAAACGUUCAAAUACUACACCGAAGCGCCAAAGUACUAUUCUGCCCCGAUCUACACAACCACAACUGAGGCGGCCAAGUAUUACGCAGUCCCGACUUACUACACAGAAGCUGCUCUUUGGUACUACAUUGAACA